AUUGAACGCUGGCGGCAGGCCUAACACAUGCAAGUCGAGCGGAUGAAGGGAGCUUGCUCCUGGAUUCAGCGGCGGACGGGUGAGUAAUUCCUAGGAAUCUGCCUGGUAGUGGGGGAUAACGUCCGGAAACGGGCGCUAAUACCGCAUACGUCCUGAGGGUGAAAGUGGGGGAUCUUCGGACCUCACGCUAUCAGAUGAGCCUAGGUCGGAUUAGCUAGUUGGUGGGGUAAAGGCCUACCAAGGCGACGAUCCGUAACUGGUCUGAGAGGAUGAUCAGUCACACUGGAACUGAGACACGGUCCAGACUCCUACGGGAGGCAGCAGUGGGGAAUAUUGGACAAUGGGCGAAAGCCUGAUCCAGCCAUGCCGCGUGUGUGAAGAAGGUCUUCGGAUUGUAAAGCACUUUAAGUUGGGAGGAAGGGCAGUAAGUUAAUACCUUGCUGUUUUGACGUUACCAACAGAAUAAGCACCGGCUAACUUCGUG
rnacentral:rRNA from 1 species